GUAACUUUUCACAGAAAGGAGAUCUUGCAUCUGAGCGAGGAGCAUUGUGCUACUGAGCUGGUGAGCUCAGCCCUUCCUGGGCUCCAGUGCCUUAAUUUGUAAAGAAGGAAUUCUGAGGCUAUCAGAAAGGAAGUCAAAUUGUUUUCGGAAAACAAUAGCAAAGUAACUACAAGUCAUUAGCUUCCUCCCUGGGGCCUGAAAUCAGGUUAGUCGGGGGAGCUACAAGGACUGGUAGCACUGUUUACUUACAGACCUCUGGACAGGACCCAUAAAUUAAUUCCUGUGCAGGACUUUCUGGAAUGAGGGGAGGUGAGUCAUGAAAGUGGGAGAAUGCCUGAGAGUGUAGAAGAGAUUUUCAUUUCUUCGGGGCGCAGCUAAAUCCCUCACACUGGCCUGCCUUUUCUGGUCCUCUGGGUGAGAGUUUUAUUUGGAUUCAAACAUAGGCCCAGCAGACAUCUGCCCUCUGAGAUGGUUCUUAGUAAGUUUCUUCCCAGAGCAGAAAAUCGAAAGCAAGCCAUGUUCCCUGCCCUCUUUCUGGAGGCCUCUGGGAAGACAAAUGUUUCUCAGGAAGGUCGGGGCUCCUCUGGGGGCUGAGAAUUGUGAAAGAGGAGGAAAGAAACGAUGCCCAGAGAAGAAUGGAAUGUAUGGGGCAGGGAAGAACAGUGUUCGAGUACCAGUUGGCCUCUGUCCCAAUCUUCCUGAAGUCUGGCCCUGAAUAAAACCAAUAAUAACAAUCACACUAGCUUUUAUUGCCCAUUUUGUGAGACUCAUUUCUUCUCAGUAAAACUCUUUUCCUUUAGGCUAUUAUCCCCUUGUAAUUAAAACAAUAUUUUGUAUCCUCCACGUGGGAUUCCUUUGAAACAGUGUGGAUAAUACACAAUGACACUCUGAAAGCUUUUAUUUAGUUUCUCUUGAGUCAAAGCAGAAGCUUCCAGGACAGAUUUAUCAUGCUAGGUCUGGAGAGUUAUCUCAACUCACAUGCAAGAUAGCGGAGCCCCAGGAGAGAUUCAAAGCUCCCUUUCUGGUGUGAAGAAGGUGCAAAUAUAAGAUCAUCUCUGAACCUGUCAUCGAGCCGAAUGACAUAUCACCUGUAGGGUCACUGGAGGAAGUGUGGGGGCUGUAACACAAGCAGAGCAGAGAAGGAGGCCUUAUCCCUUCUAAGCAAACCAUCC
rnacentral:lncRNA from 1 species